GGGUUCAAUGGCAGAACAUCUGCUUCGCAUACAGAAAUUCCUAGGUUAGAUCCCUGGCA
rnacentral:tRNA from 1 species